rnacentral:rRNA from 1 species
UACGUAGGGUGCGAGCGUUAAUCGGAAUUACUGGGCGUAAAGUGUGCGCAGGCGGCUUCGCAAGUCGAGUGUGAAAUCCCCGAGCUUAACUUGGGAAUUGCGCUCGAAACUACGGAGCUGGAGUGUGGCAGAGGAGGGUGGAAUUCCACGUGUAGCGGUGAAAUGCGUAGAGAUGUGGAGGAACACCGAUGGCGAAGGCAGCCUUCUGGGCCAACACUGACGCUCAUGCACGAAAGCGUGGGGAGCAAACAGG